GGCCUGUUGAUUAUAAUUUUAGGUCAGACCUGCCCGAUGAGUAUUUUAAAUGGCUGCGGUAUACUGACCGUGCAAAGGUAGCAUAAUCACUAGUUUUUUAAUUGAAAGCUUGUAUGAAAGGUUUGAUGAGAGGAUUUCUGUCUCUGUAAAAAUUUAUUAGAAUUUUAUUUUUAAGUUAAAAAGCUUAAAUGUUUAUAGAAGACGAGAAGACCCUAUAGAGUUUUAUAUUUUAUAAAAGGGAUUAAUUUUUUGGUUAAAAUUUAUUGGUUUUUUUUGUCAAGUAUUUUGUUGGGGCGAUGGGAAAAUUUACAAAACUUUUCUUUUAAUUUUACACUUAUUUGUGGUUUGUAUGAGCCUAGAUUUUAGAUUGCAAGAUAAAAUUACCUUAGGGAUAACAGCGUAAUUUUUUCUAGAGUUCUUAUCGAAGAAAGAGUUUGCGACCUCGAUGUUGGAUUAAAAUUAAUUUUUGGCGUAGGAGCUGAUUUAUUAGGUCUGUUCGACCUUUAAAAUUUUACAUGAUCUGAGUUUAAACCGGCGUGAG
rnacentral:rRNA from 1 species